UUGUGCCUGUUGAGUUACGUCCUCGUCUCAAACACACCUCAGGGGUCCUGGGACCUUCGAUGGGAUGUGACAGGAGCCUGGUAUUUGAUGGUGUUUAUAAAAUCAUAAAUAUUAUUGCUACAUUGAUCAUAUUCUACACCAUCUUUUUAAGAUGAUGACUGUCUGCUGUUACAUUAAACUUGUUUAUGGCACUUGAAUGGAGUUUGCAGCAACUCCAAUUACAAUAUUUUUCACGUGCUGCGGUUUAGUCCUAUUCAUGCUAAAUAUCCCAUCAGAUGCCGUUUAAUCAUAAAAAUUUUAAAUAAUUCUUGGGAGUAUUGUGUGUCCAAGAGAGAUAAUAAAUUGGAUUAUCUCUUUUCACACAGUCCUCCACAGAUUGUGGUCUCCAUCUCACCCAGCAUCACCAUUAUCAGGUCGUACAUGUUCUUUGUGUUUAGCUGCAGUUAAUCAACCACGUCACUGUGUCAUUAGCCACAGAUAUAUUUAACCAAAUAUUAUGAAUUUGACGUGUAAGAUGGUUGUUUGUUUAAUUAUAUAGUUAUUCACUUAUUGUUCUUAUCCUUGUACUUGAAGUACUUUGUCUUUUUAAUUUGUUUUCUCAUGCACCAAAACACCAAAGCAAAUUCCUUAAAUGUGAAAACCUGCUUGGAAAUUAACACAAUUCCAAUUCUGAUUUAUCAAAAUAGUACAUAUUCAGCUCUGAAUCCCAGUCAGCCUCUGAUGUAUUAACUUCCAUAAUGGAUUAGUUCUUAUCAUAGAUUUCCCCUUAUUUGUAAGUGUGGGGUUUACAUCCUAAUAUGGUAAAACAGUAAAACACUUCAGCUUGAGUUUAAAGCAUCAUAGUAAGCAUGUGUUUUCACUUCCUGUGUAUUGUUGACUCAGCGCUGACAAUGAGUUAUGUUGUGCAUAAAAACCUGACGUCUGUCGUCAUGUGCAUGAACAGCAAACAACACUGCAUCUAUGAGCCGUGAUGGCAGGGAUAAGGGCAAAUUAAUGAGAUAGUCGGCGCAAUUUCAUUUUGUUUCUUGCAUGAGGCAGAAUGCAGCUCCACGUGUAUUAGAUUUCAGUCCGGUCAGGCUUCCCCCUCCCGUGAGACUGGACCGUCUAUCUGAUUCACUCUCUUGAUAGGGUGGUGCCACUGCCUGCAAUCUACAGUGCUGCGUAAUACCAGACAUGCUGAAAAACACAACCUGUCUGCAAGGCAACAGAUUUGCGAAUUGGUCUGGUCACCCAGUUUUCAUAAGAACUAACAUCUGCAGGUGAAAAGUCUAAUUCCAAUGAAAGUUGUUUGCAGUGACGUCUGUAGAUUAUUUUGCGUAACGAUGGCACUAAUUCUGGAAGAAGUUGGUGUAGAUUCUCAUCCUUUCAAUGGUGUGAACAUCACAAACAAUUCACCUCCAUUAUUUUGCAGACAAGGCAAAAUGUCUGGCAUUGGAAGAAAUAUUCAGAUUUUGAGUGAAAGUCUGAACAAUAAUCCCCCCAAAAUACCCCCCAAAAUAACCCCCAAACCCCUCUCCUUUACAGGAAACUGAAAAUAUGCAGCAGAAUGGCCCCUGUAAAUAUUUAUUAUGACUUAUUAUAUCAUAAGAUUAUUCAUAUCAAUGCAUCAACAUGAAAGCAGCAUUUUAAUGUAGCAAACUGCUUUAUAAACUUUUUGGUAGUUUCAUUUAAACGUAAUCAUUACUUGUACCUUCUGUUAACCUCAGGUUACACAGGUUGCAAUAUAACUAAUCAGUUGUUGACUACCUCCUUUGACUUAUUACUGCUGUAACAAGUGGAUUUCCCCAUCGUGGGAUCAUUGAAGUUGAUCAUAUCUGAUCUUAAGUUUAUGCAUGGCCCUUUGUUUUGUUUUGUAUUUGUAAUUUGGCUGAAGCAAUCCUCUAGUGAGAGACACAGUGGCUGAGCGAAGGAGGAUUCUGGGAAGAAAAUCCAUGAGAUGAAAAAUAGGAGAGGCCUACACAGUAAUUACGUGGUUUUUUUAUGCUUAAAAUGUAAAAAAAAAUAAAAUGUUUUUUAUGGGACUAUGAGUGUGGUCAUUCCUUCGUGCCAGCUGUGACCAUGCACUUCAAAAAUAAUGUCUGUAUCCUGUAGGAUUGAAUGAAAACGACGGCUGUCUGCUUCUGGUGCAGUACCUAUGACAACCUCUGGGUGGGGGUCUCCCCUAAAAGAUCUCAGGAGCCUGGGUAUCCCCCAAACCCUUAAGCAGAGAGAAUCCAGGAGGUUAUUAUACAGAGGGCGAGUUAUUAUACAGUGAGGAGUAAUUUUACCCCACGGAGCGGACUCUCAAAUUAUACCAGAUCUCACAUCCUGCGAAAAUAAAGGUCAAAUUCAAACGACACCAACUGUGAUACAACAUCAACACCGAGAGGAGGGAGGGAAAAAAAGAAAGAAACAGUCCGGGAACCCCUGAUCCAGACCCUAUCCAGAUGGUGAUAACAGUCACUGGCCGCGGCCUGUAAUCUCCUUAUUUUUUACACUUUUGAGUAAUACAGUCCUCAUCCCUCUGGUGUGAAAUCCCCCUGCAGAGAAGUGGCGUCGACAGAAGCGGGGACGAAUAAUCUGCAUCAUCCUCAUCAUCCACAGAGUGGUUCUUCAUUCAUAAUUCACAGUCCACCCAUUACAUCUGAUGAGAGCCACUGACCUGAAAAUACGGGGGCGAAUGAGCUCCUUCAAGUAUGGCCGCUCACAUUGUCUGCGUCCGUCCUGUACAUGUUGCCAGCAAACAUCAAUAAAU